AGCAUUCCACCAUCGAUCCAAAAUUUUUUUACAGCAGCCUUGUACAUACGAAAAGAAAAACUAUUAAAUAAAUUUCUAUUAACCCAAUAGUUAAUGAAAAGUCUGAUACUUUAUAAACCUUAUAUCUUCUCUGAUUGUAAAUGUAUCUUGGUUACUGAAAUCUAUAUAACUCCCUCGCGUAGCCCUACACAUCAAGAAACCAAAAUUACUGCUAUAUAUUGUUGUUAUUGUUUAAGAAGGAGGCUGAAAAAGUAAGUUAUGGUUACCAGCAAGGCAUUGACAAAUUUUGAUCGAAUUAAUUGAGAGCUUUUUAUUCUGAAUCUAACUAGACGAUAUAAAGAGUUGCCUUAUGUAAUAAAAGCAUAAGAUAUCUAUGCACAAGCAGAAGGAAAAUUCUAUGCAUGAAAAAUAUUCAUAGUAGACUGAUGUACUUCAAUUAAAUCAUAUGCUCUUUACCUACAUUACUUGUCUCUUUUGCAUUUUUUUCUUUCAAAUCAAGUCAUUAAUAUAAGUGGUCCACUCAGAGCGAAUUUCGUUGAUCUCAUCUUCAUUAUCAUUCACCAUUUCUACCGUAUCAGCAUCUUCAUAAUCUUGUUGACUGCCAUCAAAUGAAACUUUUAUUUUUUAUGGUCAUCUACUAGAAGGUCCUUCUCCAUGCCAAGUCCAUGUUUGAUAGCUUUGGUCAAUACCUUUCCAAUAAAGAUGAUUUCUUAUCUCAACUGGUAUAUGAAAGACCAAAUUACCACAUGCUUGGCAUGGACAUCUCAAAAGUUCAGGAUUAUUAGCAUGAAGUAUUGCAAACUUGAGAAACUCAUUUACCCCAUUCUUGUAUUCUAUAGACUUCUAUCCAUCAACAUUCAAGAUUAUCCAUAUUUAAACUAUUAACUUUCCUACAAAUGCAUCACUUUUUAUUCAUUCAAUUUUAUUAAUAUUAGAAAUUGAUAUUGUUUACAACCACAAGAACAACUAAUAAAAUUAUAGAAUCAACCCAAAAAGGGGGGGUAAUGAGAUCACAAUUUGACUAAUUAAGCAACUAGAGUGUCUCUAAUAUAGUUUCUGCUACUAUAUUUCUAUAAUUGUCAAGAAUCUAACAGAUGUUAUACAUAGAUAUUUGUAGUUUAUUAUUAAUAAAAUGAAGGUUUUGGUAUUGAUUUUAUUAAUUAUUUUUAUUGAUUCAAUAGAUACAAGUUCCAAUGAUCAGUGGAUUCAUUAAUUGAACAACCAAAGUCCUUAACUUGGGCCCUGCCCAUUGAACUGUUGCAGUACAAAUUAACAUAACUUCUAAUCUGCAAGCAAUUUGAGAAUUGUUGCAGUUCUGUAAUUUUCCUUUGUUCAAAUGUAUGAAACAGACCAAAUUGAAGCAAAGUACAUUACGUUAAUAUUAUUACAAGAGACAUCUCAGUAAGAUGUUUGCUAAAAACAAAAUAAUUUUUUAAAUAGAUAUUUCAUCAAACAAGUAAUGUGCAUUCAAAUAGCAGAACACUCUAAAACCAUUUCAACAUGAUAUAAAUCUCAAUUCCCUAUUACUAUUACGAGACUCAAUUAAUUUCAACUAAAAAUAUUACACAUUCAAUUAUUACCUGAAAUCAAAGUCGUUCUUGGCAGAAUCAAGGACAAUAUAACUAAUGAGAGGAGCAAUGCUAUAAUCUACUUGAAGAGAAGAAUGAAAAUAAUAUCUUACGUUAAAUAAACAAAAAUUGAAUAGAAGUGUACUAACCGAAGAUAAAAUAUAUUGAUUCUUUGAAAAUUGAGAAUGAAAAUGAAAAUUAUUUGUGCGUUCUUUGUUUGUUGAACAGGAACAGAUACAAGACUUGGAAUCAAUUAAAUCAACCCUAAAUUGAUUAAAAAUACAAUUAAUUCAAGUAUAACCCUAAAAUUAUCAAACUAGAAAGAGAGAAGUAAAAAUAUUAUUAAAAUUAAAGGAAACAAUACCUGAGAUUUGAGAAGCCAAUGAAGUUGAAGCAAGCUGAAAUUCUUCGUGUGUUCUUCUUCUUCGAGAGAAUGGAGAUGAAAUUCGAAAUUGAGUGAUUGAUAAAAAAGUAUUAGUUCUUUCACACUAAAUAAUUAUUGGUUAAUUUAUUAAUUAACUAUUUUAUAAAUAAAUUAAUUAAUGUUAAAAUAAUGUUGAAAGGGUAUAAUUGCAAAAGAAAAAAG
rnacentral:lncRNA from 1 species